UACGAAGGGGGCUAGCGUUGUUCGGAAUCACUGGGCGUAAAGCGCACGCAGGCGGGUCGUUAAGUCAGGGGUGAAAUCCCGAGGCUCAACCUCGGAACUGCCUUUGAUACUGGCGACCUUUGAGUCCGGGAGAGGUGAGUGGAACUCCGAGUGUAGAGGUGAAAUUCGUAGAUAUUCGGAAGAACACCGGUGGCGAAGGCGGGUCUCUGGGCCGGUACCGACGCUGAGGAGCGAAAGCGUGGGGAGCGAACAGG
rnacentral:rRNA from 1 species